rnacentral:rRNA from 1 species
GAAUUGCAGAAUUCAGGUGAAUCAUCGAAUCUUUGAACGCACCUUGCGCUCCUUGGUAUUCCGAGGAGCAUGCCUGUUUGAGUGUCAUU